UACGAAGGGUGCAAACGUUGCUCGGAAUCAUUGGGCGUAAAGCGCACGUAGGCGGCUUGCCAAGUCGGACGUGAAAUCCCUCAGCUCAACUGAGGACGUGCAUCCGAAACUGGCGAGCUUGAGUACUGAAGAGGAUCGCGGAAUUCCCGGUGUAGAGGUGAAAUUCGUAGAUAUCAGGAGGAACACCGGUGGCGAAGGCGGAUCUCUGGGCCAUUACUGACGCUGAGGAGCGAAAGCGUGGGGAGCGAACAGG
rnacentral:rRNA from 1 species